rnacentral:rRNA from 1 species
UGGGCCCAACCUCCCAUCCGUGUCUAUUGUACCCUGUUGCUUCGGCGGGCCCGCCGCUUGUCGGCCGCCGGGGGGGCGCCUCUGCCCCCCGGGCCCGUGCCCGCCGGAGACCCCAACACGAACACUGUCUGAAAGCGUGCAGUCUGAGUUGAUUGAAUGCAAUCAGUUAAAACUUUCAACAAUGGAUCUCUUGGUUCCGGCAUCGAUGAAGAACGCAGCGAAAUGCGAUAACUAAUGUGAAUUGCAGAAUUCAGUGAAUCAUCGAGUCUUUGAACGCACAUUGCGCCCCCUGGUAUUCCGGGGGGCAUGCCUGUCCGAGCGUCAUUGCUGCCCUCAAGCCCGGCUUGUGUGUUGGGUCGCCGUCCCCCUCUCCGGGGGGACGGGCCCGAAAGGCAGCGGCGGCACCGCGUCCGAUCCUCGAGCGUAUGGGGCUUUGUCACAUGCUCUGUAGGAUUGGCCGGCGCCUGCCGACGUUUUCCAACCAUUCUUUCCAGGUUGACCUCGGAUCAGGUAGGGGCAGCCGCUCGCCUUAAGCAUAUCAAAAG